GGAGACCAACUGUAGCCAUGGAAGCUGAGGUGUGGAGUAGUGAAAGGAGGCAAUCCUGGCAUGCAUGGAAGUCCCCUUUCCCAUAAGGUUUAGUCCAGGGUAUUGGCAGUGCUUCAUAUAAGGUUCCCUGAUGAAGCUGUGUCUACUGUUCCUAUGAGGUGUCACCUUCCAAGCAGAAAGUGUUCCAUCAGCAUACACUAUAAUACAGUCAGUAGCUUUGGGCAGCAUGGAGAGGAACACCUAGGUAGAGGGACCUCAGGCCAGAUGACUGCUUCUGUCCUUCCCCUUCCAGUUUUCUUCAUGACUCAUGACUUGUCAGCGCCCCCCCCCCCUGCUCAAACAUGGUGAAUGGAUGGUAGUAGUGCAGGCAAUACCACAACAAAUGGAGGUCCCACUGAGAUCCGAGAAAGAAGGGAAAAGCUGAUGGAUAUUCUUGGAAGGCUCUCAGUAAUUUAAAGAAAAAAGAAAAAGGUAAGAGGGAAUUGUCAUGGGUGCAAAUAGGGCACCACUGUGGUUAAGAAAGGGCAAGACAGCUAAAGAGUUUAAAUAAAAAAGGAAAUCUUCCCAAUAUAGAAGAGGGAAGGAAAGGAAAUUUCCCAUUAGAAAAUCGAGAAAAAAAUUUAAUCAAGAAAAAAGGA